rnacentral:rRNA from 1 species
ACGGAAGGCAGCAGUGGGGAAUAUUGGACAAUGGGGGAAACCCUGAUCCAGCGACGCCGCGUGAGUGAAGAAGUAUUUCGGUAUGUAAAGCUCUUAAGCAGGGAAGAAAAUGACGGUACCUGCAGAAUAAGCCCCGGCUAACUACGUGCCAGCAGCCGCGGUAAUACGUAGGGGGCAAGCGUUAUCCGGAUUUACUGGGUGUAAAGGGAGCGUAGACGGCAUAGCAAGUCUGAAGUGAAAUCCCGCGGCUCAACUGCGGGACUGCUUUGGAAACUGUCAUGCUAGAGUGUCGGAGAGGUGAGUGGAAUCCCCAGUGUAGCGGUGAAAUGCGUAGAUAUUGGGAAGAACACCGGAGGCGAAGGCGGCUCACUGGACGACAACUGACGUUGAGGCUCGAAGGCGUGGAGAGCAAACAGGAUUAGAUACCCUGGUA